rnacentral:rRNA from 1 species
UGAAUACGAGAUGCUACGGCAUCGAAGCAGUCUAUGUCAUACUUCCAAGAAAAGCUUGCACUGUCAUAAACAAAUAAUGCCUGUACCAUAACCGACACAGGUGGGUAGGUAGAGUAUACUAAGGGGCGCGAGAUAACUCUCUCUAAGGAACUCGGCAAAAUGACUCCGUAACUUCGGGAGAAGGAGUGCCUUAUUUUAUAAGGUUGCAAUAACAAGAUCCAAGCAACUGUUUACCAAAAACACAGGUCUCCGCUAAGUCGUAAGACGAUGUAUGGGGGCUGACGCCUGCCCAGUGCCAGAAGGUUAAAGAAGUUGGUUAGCAUUAGCGAAGCUGAUAACUGAAGCCCUGGUGAACGGCGGCCGUAACAAUAACGGUCCUAAGGUAGCGAAAUUCCUUGUCGGGUAAGUUCCGACCCGCACGAAAGGCGUAAUGAUUUGGAUACUGUCUCGGAGAGGGGCUCGGUGAAAUAGACUUGUCUGUGAAGAUGCGGACUACCUGCACCAGGACAGAAAGACCCUAUGAAGCUUUACUGUAACUUGAGAUUGAAAUUGGACUUUAUUUGCGCAGUAUAGGUGGGAGACGUUGAAAAUAUUCUUGCGGGAAUAUUGGAGUCAUCAGUGAGAUACCACUCUUAUAAUGUUAGAUUUCUAACUUUGUAUCAUUAUCUGGUCAAAGAACAGUCUCAGGCGGGCAGUUUGACUGGGGCGGUCGCCUCCCAAACGGUAACGGAGGCGCACAAAGGUUUCCUCUGAACGUGUAGAAAUCGUAUCUAGAGUGUAAAGGCAUAAGGAAGCUUGACUGUGAGACCUACAAGUCGAGCAGGGACGAAAGUCGGUCUUAGUGAUCUGACGGUGCUGAGUGGAAAGGCCGUCACUCAACGGAUAAAAGUUACUCUAGGAUAACAGGCUGAUCUCCCCCAAGAGUUCACAUCGACGGGGAGGUUUGGCACCUCGAUGUCGGCUCAUCGCAUCCUGGGGCGGUAGUACGUCCCAAGGGUUGGGCUGUUCGCCCAUGAAAGCGGUACGCGAGCUAGGUUCAGAACGUCGUGAGACAGUUCGGUCCAUAUCCGGUGUAGGCGUUAGAAUAUUGAGAGGAGCCUUCUUUAGUACGAGAGGACCGAGAAGGACAUACCUCUGGUGUACCAGUUAUCGUGCCAACGGUAAACGCUGGGUAGCUAUGUAUGGAGAGGAUAACCGCUGAAAGCAUCUAGGUGGGAAGCCCACCUCAAGAUAAGUA